rnacentral:tRNA from 1 species
UGGCUGAGCGGUAAAGCGCUUGGCUUCUGAACCAGGGAUCUUGGGUUCAAAUCCCGG